CAACUCGGUGGGCGGUGCCGGCGCGGGUCAGGUGACUUGUCCCCUCGGACGGCUCCGCCCACAGUCCUUGGCGCAGCAGCGCCCCUUCCCGGAAGCGUCCCGGGCCACCGGCCCUCGCCGCACUCCAGCUUCCCGUACUUCCACUCCCGCAGCACCUCCAUCUCCCGAGCUCGGACUCUUGGGUCGGGCUGCCUGAGAUACCUCUCGACAUCUCCUGAGGCCUGUUUCCCUCUUGGAACCAGGUGGCUCAAGCUGGAACCAAGAGAUGCCCCAACCCCACGCCAAAUAAAUGCCUGCUUAACCGGCGGAGAAACUGAGGUCUCGGAGAGAAAGCACCUUGCCAGAGAACGCCACACAAACCAGUGGAGAAUCGGGAUUGGAACCCAGGCUGCCCACCGCUGCUGCGCUCCAGGCAUGUGUGACGCCCCCUAGUGGCCAGGAAGGUGUGCUCUCAGCCUUUUGGGGUUUACAUCCGCAAAAGCCAAAUGGAAUUUUUUCAGUCAACUCUGUGUCUUAGGGUGUAUAGAUCCAACUUAGAGUUUCUGUAACCGGCCAAUAGGCACAGCCCAGGGAUGACCAAAGAUAGCAGCAAGCGCUUCAUCACAUGGGGUGAAAAAAAAGUUAAACUUUAGUACUCAACAAAGACAGGCACUACUCUUAAGUCCUUUAUUAUUAUUUAUAUAUUUAUUGUAAAUAUCUAUAUAAUAUAAAAUAUAUAAUUUAUUAAAUAUUUGAAUUAUA